rnacentral:rRNA from 1 species
UACGGAGGGUGCGAGCGUUAAUCGGAAUUACUGGGCGUAAAGAGUGCGUAGGUGGUUGAAUAAGUUAUCUGCGAAAUCCCUGGGCUCAACCUGGGCAGGUCAGAUAAUACUGUUUGACUCGAGUAUGGGAGAGGGUAGUGGAAUUUCCGGUGUAGCGGUGAAAUACGUAGAGAUCGGAAGGAACACCAGUGGCGAAGGCGGCUACCUGGCCUAAUACUGACACUGAGGCACGAAAGCGUGGGGAGCAAACAGG